UUGAAAAGUUUCCUUUAUCAUGGCUGAGUUUUGCCAUUGCUGCCUCUAUUUUUUUUUUUUCACCGAAACAACUGGAAAGUAAUCCUGCCUUUGCUGGCUUCAUUAGGAUGAAAAUCAGCACCCUCAGCAGGAAAAGCAGCAUUUUGGGGACAGAGAGAAGAGGAAGGUGACGAUGAAGAUGAUGUUAUUUCCUUCUUUCCUAUUCCUCCUUGCCUUAGCAAGACAGAGAAACAUGAAGCUUCAUUCAUCAGCACAUUCACUCAAGCUACUGAACAAGCCUGGAAUAAAAGCUAACCAAUAAAACUAUGGAAACAACUCAACUGUUGAACUGAAACCCACUUAAAACCAGGAAGCCAUGAGGGAGCAGGUUAUAACCCAAAUGCUUAUCUUGAGGUUGAUGCUAUAUAAUAGACUUAAUUUUAGAGCUACCCUAUAUCAGGGAAUUUUAAAGCUUCUGCAAGAUUUUAACUGCUUGAGCAGGGCAGAGCAACUACAAACAAUAUAGCAUAUCUCAGCCUUUUUCUGCACCUUAUUCUAAGAUAAAUCCUAUAUUCCAUCAUAGUCUCUGUAAGUUCAACUACACUGCACUUCACCUGCAAUGCCAUGUAAUCAAUUCAACAUUAUUCACUGUAUGUGAUACAAUAUUGCCUAGAGGAGAUGGCUCUUCUGCAGCCUUCUGGCCAGAAAACUCAGCUGCAGCAACCUCAGCGCUGCUUUAUUCUUUACUAACAGGUAGGCACUCUGAGAUAGCUGAUUUUCAAACACUGUACCUGGGCAUUUUCUGCACUUCCUUUUUUUCUUUUUCUCUUUGCAGUGUUCUCUCCAACUUCUUAACGACCAUUUGUCAGAUGGCUUCAGAUUCCUCCUACUUGACAUUUAGGAGGCUGAUCUGGAAGUAUGUUUUGAAGAUACAAGGUGACAGCUGCUAAGAAGACCUACUUCCAGUGUGCUCGUUCCUACUUACCUGUCAGCAGCUAUACUAAAACCUGAUGUUGCUACAGAUCCCUCCUGCUUUCAGCUCAUUUAGAAAUUUUUGACUUGCAGGACAGAUUUGAUCUGUGGUCAGCUCUGGGGUACAGAUCUUCAUAUUACAAUCAAAAGCAGACUUCUACAGAAAAA